GACAACAAAUACCACGUAGAAAAAGCCACGCGAACCACUGAACCGCAAGCAAAGCCCACCUGUGGCUUGUGGACGUGGCCAUCCUAGUGUUUGUCCUUUUAAAGGUGGUUGUGUCCUCAAUGAUGAAGCUUCCAGCAAGGGCCCACCCUGUCACAGUGUCACCUUUCAAGACGCCACAAGAGUGGUAACGAUUUGCGCGACUCCUUUGAAAGAAGUUUCCUCCCACCGUUUCCAGCCGCUGGCAACUCGCGCACGUGUGAAGCCCCCGCCUCUACCGAAGACGCGCUCACGUCCUGAACCUGGUUCAAAAACGUCUUCGUGCACACGGAACACCAUCGGCCCGUCGGCCUCAAAUAACGACAA